rnacentral:rRNA from 1 species
UGAGCAAUCUGCCCUUCACAUCGGAAUAACCAUUGGAAACGAUGGCUAAUACCGAAUAUGACUUCGGAUCGCAUGAUCUGAAGUGGAAAGCUCCGGCGGUGAAGGAUGAGCUCGCGGCCUAUCAGCUUGUUGGUGAGGUAAUAGCUCACCAAGGCGAUGACGGGUAGCCGGCCUGAGAGGGUGACCGGCCACACGUGGGACUGAGACACCGGCAGA